AUACGUAGGGGGCGAGCGUUGUCCGGAAUUACUGGGCGUAAAGGGCGCGUAGGCGGCAUGUUAAGUUGGAUGUGAAAUACCCGGGCUCAACCUGGGGGGUGCAUUCAAAACUGGCAAGCUAGAGUGCAGGAGAGGGAAGCGGAAUUCCUAGUGUAGCGGUGAAAUGCGUAGAUAUUAGGAGGAACACCAGUGGCGAAGGCGGCUUUCUGGACUGUAACUGACGCUGAUGCACGAAAGCGUGGGGAGC
rnacentral:rRNA from 1 species